CAUCACUUUUCGAAUGCUUUUCUCUCUCUUCGAUUUCUACCCUGAAAAACGCUCUGUACAAAGCGUCUCUCUCUCUGACCUCUUCGUCGGAGAAGAGAGCGGCGGGCGACCGUUUGCGACGGCGCCGCUUCAAUCUCACGGUGGUUCAACCACACGCGACCCUACCCCACCUAAACAAACCCUCUGAGUUUGAAUCCAGGCUCGGAUUUCAAAAAAAAAAAACCCCAUUCGUCCAGAUCUUGAAUCCCAAACGUAACCCUAACUUUUAACCAAACCAACAACAACAACAGUUCGAAGCAAACAAAGAACGAGAGCUUCGCAUGCAUGAAGAUCUAGUUAUGAAGGCGAUGCGAGGAGAUGGAAAUAAGAGGAAAAAAACCCGACCUGAGGCUUAGUUCGACGACGACGCUCCCAACGAAGCCAGGUUACAGGUGAAUUGACUUGAUGGAAUGGAAGGUGGCUGCUCCAAGACAACAAUUUUGAGGCGCGUCCAACUCCAAGGAAGGUCCAAUGGUCACCUGGUUUUGGUCCCUAGAAUCCUGUUUCCAACAGGAACACUUUUUCAUUUAAUUAAAAUGUAAUUGCUUAGGUUUUUUUUUAAAGACAAAUAUGUGUUUGGACUAUUUGUAACCCGUUGGAUUUGAAGUCUAAUAGCCAUUAACAACUAUGUAUUCAACAUGAUUUUAAGAUUAUUUCAAACAAUUUCUCCA